GAUGAACGCUGGCGGCGUGCCUAAUACAUGCAAGUCGAGCGAACGGACGAGAAGCUUGCUUCUCUGAUGUUAGCGGCGGACGGGUGAGUAACACGUGGAUAACCUACCUAUAAGACCGGGAUAACUUCGGGAAACCGUAGCUAAUACCGGAUAAUAUUUUGAACCGCAUGGUUCAAAAGUGAAAGACGGUCUUGCUGUCACUUAUAGAUGGAUCCGCGCUGCAUUAGCUAGUUGGUAAGGUAACGGCUUACCAAGGCAACGAUGCAUAGCCGACCUGAGAGGGGGAUCGGCCACACUGGAACUUAGACACGGUCCAGACUCCUACGGGAGGCAGCAGUAGGGAAUCUUCCGCAAUGGGCGAAAGCCUGACGGAGCAACGCCGCGUGAGUGAUGAAGGUCUUCGGAUCGUAAAACUCUGUUAUUAGGGAAGAACAUAUGUGUAAGUAACUGUGCACAUCUUGACGGUACCUAAUCAGAAAGCCACGGCUAACUACGUG
rnacentral:rRNA from 1 species